rnacentral:lncRNA from 1 species
UUUUUUUGUAUACGCGCUACAUACAUGCUUGCAUGGAUGUGCAGCAAAGAGCAUGGGGUUCGCGUCUAGUCCUCCGCCAUACCUGUCGUUGGCACCUAGCACCGGCCGUCUGGUCCUCACAGCUCGUGGCAGCGGUGUCAGCUAUGCUUCCGGAGGAGCUGGGAUCCUCGACUCCACUGUAAUACAGUAGUGUUAUUUCAUUCAUGCAUCGUGUGUGUGUGUUUAUCAGAUAUAGCGAGAUCAAAAAUGUAAUUACGACCUGAAAUGCAGAACGCGGGCAACAACAUCCCAUUGUCGAAGCAGGUGCAGUACUUCAAGUCCACCAAGGCACAGUUGGUCACGAAGCUGGGCUCCCGUGCGACCCACCUCCUGCUCUCCAGGUCCGUCUUCCUCUUCAGCGUCGGCAGCAACGACCUAUUCGUCUUCGCCACCGCGCAGGCGUCUGCGCACAACAACAAGUCAGCUGCCGACCAGCAGCGUGACGUCGCCACGCUCUACGCAAGCCUCAUCUCCAACUACUCAGCAACCAUCACUGUAAGUAUGCACUCCUAUGUAUUCCGUACGCAUGUGGCGGAUCGGAGCAAUCAAGAAGAUCGAUAUAUACAUUACAUCCAUCAUUCAUGCACUGCAGGAGCUGCACACCAUGGGCGCGAGGAAGUUCGCCAUCAUCAACGUGGGGCUGCUCGGCUGCGUCCCCGUGGCGCGGCUGUCCGGCGGGACGAAGACGGGCGCGUGCUUGGACGGCCUGAACGAGCUCGCGUCGGGCCUGGACGACGCCCUCGCGGUCCUGCUCGCCAGCCUCGCCUCCCGCCUGCCGGGCUUCACCUACUCGCUCGCCGACUACUACGGC